ensembl:snoRNA
ACCUCCUACAAAGGCAGGUCUUUGGUUUCCUUUCUUUGGAGAUGUAAGAAUUGGAAGAAAAGAUUUAUGGACUUGGAGAAGUCUAGGGCCAGCUUGCUCCCUUCCGGCUCAGGAUUAAUCAUCCCACAUAG